rnacentral:lncRNA from 1 species
UCCCACCAGGCCCCACCUCCAACACUGGGGACUUCAAUUCGACGUGAAGUUUGGGCAGGACACAGGUCUAAACCAUACCACAUACCUUGACUGGGCUUUCUUGAUUUUAAAUGUGAUCUCCUGAGCGUGAGUGCAAGCUCUUGCGGAAUGUGUGGUUUGCCCCACCGAGUGAGUUGCUUGAGAACAGGAACUGGCUCUUACUGCUCUCCAGCCCCAAGCUCAUUACCUGGCACCUGCUAGGCCCCUUUAAAUUGUUAUUCAAUGAAGUAUUUGAGAAAUUAGAUGAGGAGAAAACCAAGACAACUCAGGCUCUGCACAAGAUCACAUAGUCUGCAUAGAGUCCAAUACUACUAACGUCCUGGGUACACAGAUGAAUGCGGGAUCAGAGCCGAGUACAGCGUGUCAGUCCUUAUGUGCACAUCCACAAUUCUACGGGAAGCUAAAGCCCACAAUAGUUGUAUGAGAUAUCACCCCUUCCUCCAAAUCCCAGGUUCUCAUCAGAGCAGGUGCUGCCUGUUGAAGGUGAAGGAGAUCACUGCCGGCACUGCUGCCGAUGUUCCAGUUCUCCCCCAUCCUGUGUGUGGGGUGGGGUGAGCAGGGCUGGCUUUGCCCUUUGGCCUUCUUUCAGCCUGGUUUGCUGGUGCAGCAGUUUGCCUCCCUUCUGGGUUCAGUGUGAAGCAGUUCAUCCUUCCCAGCUGAAGUUCAAAAGGUUAAAAGUCUUUCGAGGACCAAAUGUCUUCCAAGGGAACAGAAAAGAAGGCUGUCCUGAGGUUGUCAGUCUGGCCUGACUCAGCACAGCUUGAGCCAGGAUAUUUGGGGUGGUUCUCUUCAAUUAGCUGGAUUCUGUUUUCAUUUCGACGUUAGGAGCGGAAGUUGCUGGGACAGAUUCUGGAAAUGGAGCCAGGGCUAUUUCUGUAUAAGGAGCCAGGAGCAUGGAAAGUUUAAGCAAGUUGCGCAAGGUCAUGGAGCUGAUGAGAGAGAGCUGGGAUUUGAAUUAAGGCAUGGUCUGUUUCCAUACUCCCUGCUCUCUAUCACUAAUUCCCCAUAACUCUAGAAAAUGAAACAGCUACAGAAGAAACAGAUGUCUGAGCUUGAGGACACCAAUUUCACAUUAUAGGAUCAGUGAAUUUGGAGAUAGGGAGCAGCUGGCUGAGGGAGGAGCGCCCCAGCAUCUGUAUUGAUGGAGAAGAAACCCGGCUGGGUCCAUGGGGACCCACAGCUGCCACCAUCAAAGCCUCAUCCAGCAUAGGCCGGAGCAAGGGUAAAAGCUUAUUUGCGGGGAGCUGAACUUCCCCUUCCCCAAAGCCAGACAGCAACCUGAGUGACCCGGUUCAGAGUGGAAGCCUGAAUCCUCCCCUCCUUUCUCUUAUUUGUCAUUAUUUAAAAAUCCUUCAGUCCCCUUCAGGGCUCAGAUCUUAUUGCUGUUGAUUCCCGCCCCCUCCCCCUUUUUU